UUAUUUGAGAGUUUGAUCCUAGCUCAGGAUGAACGCUGGCGGCGUGGAUAAGGCAUGCAAGUCGAACGAAAUUAUUUUUGAAGAAGUUGAGAUUAUAUCAAAGUGACGGAUAAAAUAGUUUAGUGGCGAACGAGUUAGUAAUACCUUGGUACAUACCAUAGAGUUUGGCAUAGCUCAUCGAAAGGUGGGGUAAUACCAAAUGGUCACUGAGAGCGUAAGCUUGAAGUGUAAAGAAGCAAUUCGCUCUGUAAUUGGCCUAGGUCUGAUCAGCUAGUUGGUGAGGUAAUGGCUCACCAAGGCUACGACCAGUAGGGGAUCUGAGAGGCUGUUCCCCAACGACGCAACUGAGACACGGUGCGUACACCUACGGGUGGCAGCAGUCGAGAAUAUUCCACAAUGGGCGAAAGCCUGAUGGAGCGACGCCGCGUGCAGGAAGAAGGUUUUCGGAUCGUAAACUGCUUUUAACUGGGAAUAAGCCCGCAAGGGUUGAAGGUACCAGUUGAAUAAGGGGUUGCUAACUCUGUGCCAGCAGCAGCGGUAAUACAGAGACCCCGAGCGUUAUCCGGAUUUAUUGGGCGUAAAGGGCGCGUAGGAGGUAUGGCAAGUUUAAUGUUAAAUCUCAGGGCUUAACCUUGGGGCCGCGUUAAAUACUGCCAAACUAGAGGACGUUAGAGGCAGAUGGAACAUACGGUGUAGGGGUGAAAUCCGUUGAUAUCGUAUGGAACACCAAAGGCGAAGGCAUUCUGCUGGGACGUUCCUGACUCUGAGGCGCGAAAGCGUGGGGAGCAAAAAGGAUUAGAUACCCUUGUAGUCCACGCCCUAAACGAUGUCUACUAGCUGUUUCGAGUGUCGACCCUCGGAGUGGCGAAGCUAACGCGUUAAGUAGACCGCCUGGGAAGUACGGUCGCAAGACUAAAACUCAAAGGAAUAGACGGGGACUCGCACAAGCGGUGGAGUAUGAGGUUUAAUUCGACGGUACACGAGGAACCUUACCAGGGCUUGAAAUUCAGACGAAGAUUGUCCGAAAGGAUGGUCGUCUCUCAAGGACGUCUGGACAGGUGCUGCAUGGUUGUCGUCAGCUCGUGUUUUGAAAUUUCGGAACCUUCAAGAGUAAUCUUGAUGAAAAAUUCGGCUCAUAACGGUGGAACCCUAUAUUUUUUUAUGUUAAAAUAUAAGAAUUAUGGGCAAUACCGUGGGAAGUUUGGAAAUUCCAAUAAAACUUCAUGCAAGGAAAAAUUUAUUAUUAUUGGCAUGAAAUAUAAAAUUCCAAACCCCGUAACGACUUAGAUUCAAUAUUUAUUGAGUCUGGAUAAAAGUUUUUAAACUUUUAUAAAACGCCGACUCCCGCAAUGCGGGAUGAAGGUAUAGUCUAAUUUCUAAAGUAAUUUAGAAAAUUAAAAGGAAAUGUUCCCUUAAGUGGGGUAACGAGCGCAACCCUUAUCUCGAGUUAUAUGUGUCUCGAGAGACUGCCCAGUUUUCUGGGAGGAAGGUGAGGAUGACGUCAAAUCCGCAUGGCCCUUUGAUGCCCUGGGCCACACUCAUACUACAAUGGUCGGUACAAUGGGUUGCCAAAGCGCAAGCUGGAGCUAAUCCCAUCAAAGCCGGCCCCAGUUCGGAUUGAGGGCUGCAACUCGCCCUCAUGAAGCCGGAAUCGCUAGUAAUCGCGCAUCAGCCAUGGCGCGGUGAAUACGUUCUCGAGUCCUGUACUCACAAUAAAAGCGCGCAGCCGGGUUAUAAAACUAAGCCGUUUAAAUCGGCUCCUCC
rnacentral:rRNA from 1 species